rnacentral:rRNA from 1 species
AUUGAACGCUGGCGGCAGGCUUAACACAUGCAAGUCGAGCGGAUGAGUGGAGCUUGCUCCAUGAUUCAGCGGCGGACGGGUGAGUAAUGCCUAGGAAUCUGCCUGGUAGUGGGGGACAACGUUUCGAAAGGAACGCUAAUACCGCAUACGUCCUACGGGAGAAAGCAGGGGACCUUCGGGCCUUGCGCUAUCAGAUGAGCCUAGGUCGGAUUAGCUAGUAGGUGGGGUAAUGGCCCACCUAGGCGACGAUCCGUAACUGGUCUGAGAGGAUGAUCAGUCACACUGGAACUGAGACACGGUCCAGACUCCUACGGGAGGCAGCAGUGGGGAAUAUUGGACAAUGGGCGAAAGCCUGAUCCAGCCAUGCCGCGUGUGUGAAGAAGGUCUUCGGAUUGUAAAGCACUUUAAGUUGGGAGGAAGGGCAGUAAGUUAAUACCUUGCUGUUUUGACGUUACCAACAGAAUAAGCACCGGCUAACUUCGUGCCAGCCGCCGCCGUAACAC